rnacentral:rRNA from 1 species
UACAGAGGGUGCAAGCGUUGUUCGGAAUUACUGGGCGUAAAGGGCGCGUAGGCGGUCUUGUAAGUCUUGUGUGAAAUCCCUCGGCUUAACUGAGGAACUGCACGGGAUACUGCGAGACUUGAGAUCGGGAGAGGGAAGCGGAAUUCCGGGUGUAGCGGUGAAAUGCGUAGAUAUCCGGAGGAACACCGGUGGCGAAGGCGGCUUCCUGGACCGACACUGACGCUGAGGCGCGAAAGCUAGGGGAGCAAACGGG